rnacentral:misc_RNA from 1 species
AACAUCGCGCACCUGCGGGAACCUGCGGAGGGAUCAUUAUUGAAUCAAAAUCUGGGUUGAUGCUGGCUCUUUGGAGCAGGUGCACACCUGGCAUAUUUGUUUCUACACCCUUGUGCACUUUUUGUAGGUGCUCUCAAGAGAGUAUGUAUUUUGUGCUUUCAAAGCCGUCGGGGGGGACUUGUCAGUUUGGCUGUCCCUGUGAAUGCUCUCUGGGUGCCCUAUGAACCAUUUGUAUACACA